AAAUAAUCAAUGUAUCUAUUCACAACUGCUGAGUGUGCUCACUUGAUUCAUAUUACUAAUAUUUAUAGAUUAAGACCAUUUAUAAAUUAUCUUAAUCAGAGAUGAAGGAAAAUUAUUAUAUAAUGAUCCUGCCAACUGUGAGGGUUAUGUUCCUGCAAAACAUCACCAGCAAUGGAAGGCGUGAUGAUGGUGCUGCACACUAUCAUGCCUACUGUUUGACUUGUAUGAUGCUUUACAGUGCAUGCUGGAAGAUUGCAGUCGUCAUGAUAUUUUCUAAUGCCUGUGUGUCCAUCAGUGUAAUGCAGUUAAAGCAGGACUAAUCUAAAAAUAUGAUAUAUUGCCAAUCAUAACAUUAGUAAGAGCAUCACAAAAGAUGCUUAGAACAAUAAUUAUUUGUUCUUUGAAUUUUAUUGAGGUUUUGCUGGAUUUCAC
rnacentral:lncRNA from 1 species